rnacentral:hammerhead_ribozyme from 1 species
AUCCAGCUGAUAAGUCCUAAAUAGGAUGAAAUGCGCAUCCUGGAU